rnacentral:rRNA from 1 species
AUUGAACGCUGGCGGCAUGCCUUACACAUGCAAGUCGAACGGUAACAGGUCUUCGGAUGCUGACGAGUGGCGAACGGGUGAGUAAUACAUCGGAACGUGCCCAGACGUGGGGGAUAACGAGGCGAAAGCUUUGCUAAUACCGCAUACGAUCUAAGGUUGAAAGCAGGGGACCGCAAGGCCUUGCGCGUUUGGAGCGGCCGAUGGUUGAUUAGGUAGUUGGUGGGAUAAAAGCUUACCAAGCCGACGAUCUGUAGCUGGUCUGAGAGGACGACCAGCCACACUGGGACUGAGACACGGCCCAGACUCCUACGGGAGGCAGCAGUGGGGAAUUGUGGACAAUGGGCGAAAGCCUGAUCCAGCAAUGCCGCGUGCAGGAUGAAGGCCUUCGGGUUGUAAACUGCUUUUGUACGGAACGAAAAGGCUCUGGCUAAGACCUGGGGCACAUGACGGUACCGUAAGAAUAAGCACCGGCUAACUACGUG